rnacentral:rRNA from 1 species
CCUCUGAUGUACCAGUUGUCACGCCAGUGGCACAGCUGGGUAGUCACGUUUGGAAUAGAUAACCGCUGAAAGCAUCUAAGCGGGAAACUAACUUCAAGAUAAGUAUUCUUUAAGAUACCUUCGAGCCUAGGAGGUUGAUAGGUUGGGGGUGUAAGUGCAGCAAUGCAUUUAGCUGACCAAUACUAAUUAUCGAAGUUUUAAUCUAAGUUUGUUUUUACUAUAUAGUUUC